rnacentral:tRNA from 1 species
UGCGGCUGGGUCAGGUUGAGCAGGUCGUUGUUGCCGACCAGGUCGGUGUGCCAGUCCUUGAACCGCUC